UUUUUUCCUAAUUAUUUGCUGCGACAUACGCUACGCUACUUUUGUGUUGAUGUUGAAUCAGUCGAGCUACGUGCUUGCUUCACUCAACGUUUUUAAUUUCUUUUAGAGUUAGUACUAAUCUCUUGGCUUACUGAGAACGAAACUACCUAUGUGUUUGUGGCCACCAAAAAAAGAUGAAGACAAAAGGUGAAUAAAUGGGUUGAACUUGAAAUCGUGCCUUUCAUGAGAUGGUUAAAAUAACCAAUCAGAUUAUCAGCUAAGCUAAGGAUUAUAAUCAAGGAUCACGCCGAUUAAAAAAUCCUUUAAAACAAAUGAUGUUGAGAGCACUGACAGUGAUUGAUCUAAAUACUGAGCCUAUGCUCUUGUAGUAAUUCCUUCCAACGACAAUUUAGAAGGAACCUGAUAAGAGCGAUGAAGCUGCGUGUAAAAGUAUAAUGGAACCUAAAGACCAGUACAUUUAGCUUUUGAAACCUAAAAAAUUAUAGUAGGAUGAAACCCAUUGGAAAAGAAAGAGAAUACAACGAAAAUGAAAGGAAAAAUAAAUGUCGGGAAGUGAGGGGUUAUGGGGAUAAAAACGGCUUAUGUCGAUUUCUGGCUAAACUACAAGUCUUACGGAAAUAAGGCAUCACAAACUACCUACGAACAUCUUGCGAAAUAUUUGCAGCGUAUUAUUUGCACUGAAAUGUCUAAAGUAAAAAAAAGCGUCAAUUACACCAUUGGACAACAAGUUAAAAAAAUAUUAGAAGUCGUCCAGCAGUCAGGACAUGCACCGAGUAAACUAAGAGCUUGGAAUAUUAUCGGUGACGCCUUGCCAUACAAAGACAUUGCGACAUUUGUAGUUUUAUAAAUCUUUAAAAGAUAACGAGGAAAAACGCAAAGCAUUGGUAUUUAAAAACUAUCCAAAUAUUAUUCACAAAGAUUUACAAAUUAUUAAAAUAUUGUUAGCAAAAGAUUGAAAAAUUAUAGGUUGUCACCGGUAGAACAAGCAUUAUUUAUAUUAAUAUAUAUGAUGAUGAUUUAUAUUGUAUUGUUAAUUACAGUCAGUGAAGUAUUUUAAUGUA